rnacentral:tRNA from 1 species
CAAGGUAUAGCUAAGCAGAAAGCGUCUCUUUUACACAGAGCAUAUCCCUGUGCGAUUCAGGUUACUUUGA